AAUUCCCAAUUGACGUCAUAUUUUUAGAUUAAUUAAUUCGGAAUUGUUGUCGACAAAGAAAUCUCAUCAACUAAACGAACGGGUUGGGAUUUUCUUCCUUUGUGAGGUUUCCAUAAGCUCUCAAGUAUGUAAAGAUUACAUAAAUCUUGGUUCGAAAAUGACAUUAUGGAGGAUUUCAUAGAAGAAACAUGUACUUAUCUAGUUCAGUGGAUGUACAUGUAAUGGUUUAGCAUCAAAAGAAUAAAAAUAGGAAUAACC